rnacentral:rRNA from 1 species
AGCAGCCGCGGUAAUUCCAGCUCCAAUAGCGUAUAUUAAAGUUGUUGCAGUUAAAAAGCUCGUAGUUGAAUUUCGGGGUCAGUAGGCUGGUCGUGCCCCCGGCACGUACUGGUCUAACUGAUUCCUCCUUCCUGAAGAACCGUAAUGCCAUUAAUUUGGUGUUGCGGGGAAACAGGACUGUUACUUUGAAAAAAUUAGAGUGUUUAAAGCAAGCUAACGCUUGAAUACAUUAGCAUGGAAUAAUGAAAUAGGACGAUCGAUCCUAUUUUGUUGGUUUCUAGGAUUGACGUAAUGAUUAAUAGGGACAGUCGGGGGCAUCAGUAUUCAAUUGUCAGAGGUGAAAUUCUUGGAUUUAU